UCCCUGGUGGUCCAGUGGCUAAGACUCUGUGCUCCCAACACCAGGGGCCUGGGUUCAAUCCCUGGUCAAGGAA
rnacentral:tRNA from 1 species